rfam:Arabidopsis lyrata subsp. lyrata unplaced genomic scaffold ARALYscaffold_1, whole genome shotgun sequence.
AGAAUGAGAUUGAGCCAAGGAUGACUUGCCGAUUUUUAUCAACAAAUCUUAACUGAUUAUGGUGCCCGGCAAGUUGACCUUGGCUCUGUUUCCUUCUCU